rnacentral:tRNA from 1 species
GGAGGCGUGCCAGAGUGGUUGAAUGGGCCGGUCUCGAAAACCGGUAUAUCCGCAAGGGUAUCGGAGGUUCGAAUCCUCCCGCCUCCG